rnacentral:rRNA from 1 species
GACGAACGCUGGCGGCGUGCUUAACACAUGCAAGUCGAGCGAGUGAGUUCUUCGGAACGAUCUAGCGGCGGACGGGUGAGUAACACGUGGGCAACCUGCCUCAUAGAGGGGAAUAGCCUCCCGAAAGGGAGAUUAAUACCGCAUAAAAUUAUCGAGUGGCAUCACAUGAUAAUCAAAGGAGUAAUCCGCUAUGAGAUGGGCCCGCGGCGCAUUAACUAGUUGGUGAGGUAACGGCUCACCAAGGCGACGAUGCGUAGCCGACCUGAGAGGGUGAUCGGCCACAUUGGGACGGAGACACGGCCCAGACUCCUACGGGAGGCAGCAGUGGGGAAUAUUGCACAAUGGGCGCAAGCCUGAUGCAGCGACGCCGCGUGAGGGAUGACGGCCUUCGGGUUGUAAACCUCUUUCAGCACCGACGAAGCGCAAGUGACGGUAGGUGCAGAAGAAGGACCGGCCAACUACGUGCCAGCCGCCGCGGUAA